rnacentral:rRNA from 1 species
AUUGAACGCUGGCGGCAGGCCUAACACAUGCAAGUCGAACGAGUGGCGGACGGGUGAGUAAUGUCUGGGAAACUGCCUGAUGGAGGGGGAUAACUACUGGAAACGGUAGCUAAUACCGCAUACCAUCGGAUGUGCCCAGAUGGGAUUAGCUAGUAGGUGGGGUAACGGCUCACCUAGGCGACGAUCCCUAGCUGGUCUGGGAGGAUGACCAGCCACACUGGAACGGAGACACGGCCCAGACGCUGACGUGAGGCAGCAGUGGGGAAUAUUGCACACUGGGCGCAAGCCUGAUGCAGCCACGCCGCGUGUAUGACGAAGGCCUUCGGGUUGUAAAGUACGGUCAGCGGGGAGGCGUUACCCGCAGAAGAAGCAUCGGCUAACUCCGUGCCAGCAGCCGCGGUAAUAC